UCAUCUUUCUGGGUCUCUGUUUUCUCAUCUCUGAACUAUGGGUGUUAGGCUAGAAAGACAACGCCUAAGUUCCUUUGAAAUCUAAAAAUUGUUAUGAUGUUGUGAGGCCUGGUGUCCGUCGCAGGCUGGGGACUGGCCCUGGUACCACGGAUGCGGCAUCACGGGCCUCAGCCACGACCCAGCCUGUCCCUCUGACUUUCAGACGUUCGCAGAAAGUUUUCUCUAAACAUGGUUAUUUAUGUUACUAGCUGAAUCAUCUGAACUGACAGACUGCAGACUGAGUUGAGAUGUGAGGAGUCACUGUCCUCCUUUACCUCCUCAACGGUAUUACCCCUACGGCUUGGCCAUAGAGAACCAAGUUCCCAGGGACAAGAGGACCAUUCUUUGUUCAAGGAUCUCUAAGUGGCUGAAUCAUCACAUAAGCUCUUAAAAUCCAUUUGCAGGAAGUAAUCAUUCAUUUCCUCAUUUUUAUUAUUCAAAGCAAAUAAAAUGGAAUGUGCAAUAGUGAGUGCAAACAGCAUUUGGCCAAUAGCAAAUGACAAUAAGAAAUAGUAAACUAAUUUAUUUAAUAAUAUGGUGAAAGGCUUUAGUUACAUCAUAUAUCUUCUUCAAAAGCAACACUCAGUUCUAAGAGGCU
rnacentral:lncRNA from 1 species